rnacentral:rRNA from 1 species
CAUGCAAGUCGAACGGAGUCAAGAGAAGCUUGCUUUUCUUGACUUAGUGGCGAACGGGUGAGUAACGCGUGAGUAACCUGCCCUGGAGUGGGGGACAACAGUUGGAAACGACUGCUAAUACCGCAUAAGCCCACGGCCCGGCAUCGGGCUGAGGGAAAAGGAUUUAUUCGCUUCAGGAUGGACUCGCGUCCAAUUAGCUAGUUGGUGAGGUAACGGCCCACCAAGGCGACGAUUGGUAGCCGGACUGAGAGGUUGAACGGCCACAUUGGGACUGAGACACGGCCCAGACUCCUACGGGAGGCAGCAGUGGGGGAUAUUGCACAAUGGGGGAAACCCUGAUGCAGCGACGCCGCGUGGAGGAAGAAGGUUUUCGGAUUGUAAACUCCUGUCGUUAGGGACGAUAAUGACGGUACCUAACAAGAAAGCACCGGCUAACUACGUGCCAGCAGCCGCGGUAAAACGUAGGGUGCAAGCGUUGUCCGGAAUUACUGGGUGUAAAGGGAGCGCAGGCGGACCGGCAAGUUGGAAGUGAAAACUAUGGGCUCAACCCAUAAAUUGCUUUCAAAACUGCUGGCCUUGAGUAGUGCAGAGGUAGGUGGAAUUCCCGGUGUAGCGGUGGAAUGCGUAGAUAUCGGGAGGAACACCAGUGGCGAAGGCGACCUACUGGGCACCAACUGACGCUGAGGCUCGAAAGCAUGGGUAGCAAACAGGAUUAGAUACCCUGGUAGUCCAUGCCGUAAACGAUGAUUACUAGGUGUUGGAGGAUUGACCCCUUCAGUGCCGCAGUUAACACAAUAAGUAAUCCACCUGGGG